rnacentral:tRNA from 1 species
UGUUCUGUGGCUUAGUUGGUAAAACCGCUGGUCAAGCGAAUACGAGUCGUGGGUUCGAAUCCCACCAGAACGC